GGACAUUUGGCCACACCUGGAUGUCAUUUUUAUUGUGACAGUGCGAGGGGAGUGGCUCAUAGUGGCAUCUAAUAGAGGCCAGAGAUGCUACUAAACAUGUUACAAUACAGGUCAUCACCCCAAGCAAAGAAUCUCCCAGCCCCAAAUGCCAAUAGGUCUGAAGUUGAAAACCCACGUUUAGGCUGGGCUUGGUGGCUCAUGCCUGUAAUCCCAGCACUUUGGGAGGUCGAAGUGGGCAGAUCACCUCAAGUCAGGAGUUCAAGACCAGUCUGGCCAACAUGACGAAACCCCAUCUCUACUAAAAAUACAAAAAUUAGCUGGGUGUGGUGGCGCAUGCCUGUAAUCCCAGCUACUCAGGAGGUUGAAGCAGGAGAAUCAUCGCUUGAACUUGGGAAACGGAGGUUGUAGUCAGCUGAGAUCAUGCCAUUACACUCUAGCCUGGCCGACAGAGCAAGACACCAUCUCAAAAAAAAAAAAACCACCCAGGUUUCACUUAAGUAGGGGGCCUGCUGCAUAACAGAAUGUGGGUUGUCAAAAGGAGGCUCUAAGCAGAACAAGGGCCCUGGGAUGGCCAAAGGUUGGAAGGGCCUACUCCCCUCCCGUCCUCCUCCUGCCAAGUGGCCCCUCCCCUCCCAAUUUGCAGUGCGUGCUGGGGGUGGGGAGGAUGGUGGCAGAGAAGGCAUGGGUGGGGCUGGCAGGGAGACGUGCUGGAAAGUGUACAGCCUCUGGCAGACAGUGGCCGGUGACCGUCUCUCCAGCUCCUGUAUCAUGGGCUCAACGUGUUCUUUGAAUGGGGGCAGAUAUCCUCAUUGGGGUCUGGCUUGCCUCAUGGAACCCCCCACCCUGGAAAUAGGGACCCCUCGCCACUCAGCUUGCAGAUCUCAAAGCCCCAGUGGCAGGUUUGCCCUUCUUCAGUCCUCAAAUUUCAAAAUGUGAUUUGUUUCAGUAACACGAGCACAGAGGGAAGGGAGAGGGGAAAGUGAGUGAGUAGGGAAAGAGAGAGAGCGAGUCAAAACCAGUGAGGGCGACCAGGACAGAGCCUGGGAGGGAUGGACAGACUCAGCAGGAGAAAGAAAAAUACAGACUGAGACAGAGAGAGAGACUGAGACGGAGCUGGAGAGGGACAAAUGGAGAGUGGCGGAGAAACAGAAAACCAAAUGAAAGAGAGCCAGACCGACUGAGAGUGGCAAAAAGAAACAGAAAGGGAGAAGGAGCAAAAGAGAGAAAGCUUGACAGCGGAAGGGCAGACUAAAAGCGUGCACUAGAGACAUCUUUCCUGGCAAACUCAUAGUCCACAGCCCACUAACUCUCCAGGGCUUCGCUGCAUUUCAGCCACAGAACUGGGGACUUGGGAAAGUUUUCUCAUCGCAGGUCCGGGACGAGCGAGCAUUGUUCCCAUUACUGCCGGUAUUCUCUGCGAACUGGACAUUAGCCAACAGGAAAUUCCUGGACAAAUCUUUCCACUCGGUCUUUUAAAACUUUAAUUUUUUUUAUUUUAAUUUUUUUUUUCUUUAGGGACAAAAGAAAAAAAGAUCAAGAGGCAAAAAAAAAAAAAAAGAAAUGAACCACCUGGUGUAGGAAAAACAUAUCUAGCCACAGCCCCAGUCAGGCCAGGGGAAGCUGAGAAUCCAUUGUGCCCACCAUGCCUCAUUCUUCCCCUGGAAGGAUUUAUGACCUCACACUCCCAUGACAUCACAAUGCGUUGCCAUGGGUCCUACUUUAUUAUCAUAAACAAAGCGCUUGUUCCUUGGGCCAUUGCCUGUCUGAGCAGGAGGGGGAAAAAGGCUCUGGGUAAUGUGUUUUCUUGGGAAGGCAGCUUGUUCAGAAGUCUGAAAAGCUGCAAAAAUAGUUGUACAUAAAGUUCCCUCCCUGUAGCCUCUGGACAGGGUUUGGGACGGAAUGAGAAGGAUGAAGUCAGCUCCCUACAGGAGGAUCUCAGGCUCUGCGUGUUCUUACUGCCAAAAAGCAGCUUCCCCAGGCUUCCUUCGCUACUCCAAACAAGGUUUGUAUCCAUUCAGUGAAAAUGCAGGGAGUACCUACUAGGUGCUAGACACUGACAGAGCUGGGGCAGGGAUCAAUGAAAAACACAGUGCCAGCCCCACCCCUUUGAGAAUUUGUAAACGCUCAACAAGCCCACAACUAACAUGAAUGUGUAACAUUGUAAUUUGGUUAAGUGUGCUGAAGGAAGCAAGCAGGAAGCUAGGAUGAGAAUGGAGGGAAGAGGCUACUUACUUGAGUAAUCUGGGAGGGCCUCUCUGAGGAGGUGACAUUUUAGACAAGACCUGAAGAAGAAAUCGGCUGUGAAGGGCAGAAGGAAGCGGCAGUAACUAAGGCAGGGCCAGCCACGCCAGGCAGAGUGACCGUCAGGUUCUAAGAUCUCACCAGGGACCUCUUCCCACGUAUUUUAUAGAAUUCCUGGGUAGCUGACUCAGAUGAGAGGGCUUAUUAUGAGGAGUCAUCGUCGUCAUGAGUCUGAGCUGAGUAAAGCUUCCACACCCUGCCACAGCCAUGCCAGAAAACCCUCAUUUCUAUUGCACAACUGUCGGGUUGGCACUUGAAAACAAGUCAGCCAAGAGCAGAAAUACCUGUCGGACCCAGAGAGGGGGCUGUCCCCGGCAUGAGUUCAUUUUGCAGAAAGCAAAUGAUCCUCUUAAGCAGCAGGAAGGAGAGAAGGAGGGGAGGGGAGAGAAGCCUUGGGGACAGAUUUGGGGGCACUGCCUGUGGGUCAGGAGGCCAGGUGAAGGACAGGUGGGCAAGCCGUCCCCAACCCUCGCAGGAGAUGAACUGUGAGGGAGUUAGGACUCUGGAUAAGGAAUAGAAGGAGAGGCUGGAUGCGGUGGCUCAUGCCUGUAAUCUUAGCACUUUGGGAGGCCCAGGCGGGUGGAUCACGAGGUCAGGAGUUCAAGACCAGCCUGGCCAACGUGAAACCCCAUCUCUACUAAAAAUACAAGAAUUAGCCAGGCGUGUGGUGGGUGCCUAUAAUCCCAGCUAUUUGGGAGGCUGAGACAUGAAAAUUGCUUGAACCCGGGAGGCAAAGGUUGCAGUAAGCCAAGACCACGCCAUUGCAUUCCAGCUUGGGCAACAAGAGUGAGACUGUCUGAAAAAGAAAAAGAAUAGAACAAGAGCUUCUAGAUCAUCUGGACAAUGAUGGGGACAGAUGGGGACAUGGAGGCCCCAGGUGGAGAAGGGCCUUCCCGGUACAGGAAGUUAGGCACAGGGCCCUACUGCUCACUUGCUGUGUGACCUUGGGAAGCUCACUUCACAUCUCUGAGCCCCUGUUCCCACUGUAAAAUGGAAAGAAUGCACAUAAGGCUCUUUGCAUUGCUGCAAUAUAGAGAGAGGGUUGCUUUUAAACCAUGCUGACUUUUCUUCAUUAGUUCAUUUCAUAUGUCAGGUGCCCCUGACAGGUGAAUGUGGCUGUCCAUGAUUUACAGAUGAGGAAACUGAGGCCAGGAGGGGUUGAGUAACACACUCGAGGUUCCACAGCCAGGUAUAAGGACCAGAUCCCCACCCUACCUGCCUGACUUUUAAAUAGAGCCUGUGUUGCCAAUGAUGGAAGCUUGGCCUUGUCCUGGGAUGCAUGGCCCUGUGUAUGUAAUUGGUGCUGACUCUGUGACACAGAGCUAGGGUGGAGACAAGGCUGCAGAGAUGAGAUGCACAGCUUGCCGACCAGCAGUGACGGGGUGCCAGAGACCCACAGGCCCGAAGAGACACCAGGACGUGGGAGAGAAGAGAGGACUCCGUUCCAUUCCGUGUGCUGAGUGAUAUGUCCAGAUGUUAUUUCUUUUGUUUGUUUCUGACAGAAUCUCUCUCUGUCAUCCAGGCUGGAGUGCAGCGGCAUGAUUUUGGGUCACUGUAACCCCCACCUCCAGGAUUCAAGCAAUUCUCCUGCCUCAGCCUCCCGAAUAGCUAGGAUUACCGACACGCACCACUAUGCCCGGCUAAUUUUUGUAUUUUCAGUAGAGAUGGGAUUUCACAAUGUUGACCAGGCUGGUCCUGAACUCCUGGCCUUAAGUGAUCUGCUCGCCUCGACCUCCCAAAGUGCUGGGAUUACAGAAUUGGCUCAUGCAAUUGGGGGCUCAGAAGUACCACAGUCUGCCAUCAGCAAGCUGAAGGCCCAGGAAAGCCGUGGUGUCAAUCAGCCUCAGUCUGAAGACCUGAGAACCAGAGAAGUCUAUGAUGUCAAUACCAGUCCAAGAUCAGGAAAAGGUAAGAUAAAGUGUCCCAGCUCAAACACUGAGGCAGGGGGAAGAAAAAGUAAGUGCAUUCUCCCUCUGCCUUUUGAUUUAUUCAGGAUUGGACAGUGUCCGGCCACACGGGAAAAGGCAGUCUACUUGUACUGAAUCCACAGAUUCAAAUGCUAAUCUCACCUAGAAACAAUGUUCAGUCUGGGCACCCUGUGGCCCAUUCAAGUUGAUGUAUAUAAUUAACCAUCAUGGUUGGCUUCAGGCCCUGUGGAAUCUAGGGGUGCAAAUAUCACCAGAACCUGGCCUUUUUUCCAGACUGCUUCCAUUCCUAUCCCCACAAAAUGGCUGCCAGAAGGCCCAGUCCCAUUUUCUCAGCUUCAAAUUCAGUAGAAAAGAUUGGAGAGCCUUUUCCAAAGGUUGUUGCAAGAAUACUUGCAUCUCAUUGGCUCUGACUGGACCACAGGCCCAUCUCUGAUCCAAUCCCUGUGGCCAGGAAAGUGCAGUGUUCUGAUUGGCCAAUCCUGAGUCACAUGGCACCCCCAGAGCUGAAGUAUGCCUGUUUUUGUUUUAUUCUGUUUUUUCUUCAGACAGAGUCUCACUCUGUCUCCCAGGCUGGACCUCAGUGAUGUGAUCUUGGCUCACUGCAACCUCAGCCUCCCUCAUUCAAAUGAUUAUCCUGCCUCAGACACCUGAGUAGCUGGGAUUGCAGGUGCGCACCAUCACACGUGGCUAAUUUUUGAAUUUUUAGUAGAGUUGGGAUUUCACUAUGUUGGCCAGGCUGAUUUUGAAAUCCAGAACUCAGGUGAUCCGCCUAGCUUGGCCUCCCAAAGUAAUGGGAUUACAGGUGUGAGCCACCACGCCCGCCCAGGAUGCAUUUAAUAUUACCCAAAGCCCAGGAUGCAGAUGGAGUAGGUGGGGGACAGGUGAGUCCCCCUAGAGGAAAAUUGGGGUGCUAGCUCAGUGGAACCCAACAAUAGAAUUCAGGAAGCAUUCCUUAUGCCAAAUGUUUUUCUUUAAGCAGUUCCAAACACCAAAGGAGUUAAAUAAACAUUGUUAGUCAUGUUCUGUCAGUGAUAAAUUGAAAGAGUGACGACAGCCUGCAGGUCACUGGCAAAGCAAACACCCACCCCGCUCGCCCUGAGUCUUUCACCUUUGCUCUCAGCAUGAGAUUUAACUACCUGCAAGUUGAGACAGAAGGGGUCAUUUAUUGAACAGACGGUUACUAUAGCCAGCCACGCACACCGUGUCUGUAACAUUCUCUUAGAUCAGGAAAUUGAAAGUCCUGGAAAUUAAGGGGCAGACAUAAAGAUUGUGUAGCAGAGCGCAGGGCUGGGUCCCAAGCACCAGGGGCAGUGCCCCUCUGCCCAGAUAUUCUAAGCCUUUUAGGGCAGACAUAGAACCCAGAGAAGUCCUCUGUGAUGCCCACAGAGUUGCAGUCUUCACCUCCCUAAAAGGGGAAGUGGGAUCCAGUCAAAAGGAAAUCAGAAAGUUGGGGGUGGCCAGCUGUGGUGGCUCAUGCCUGUAAUCCCAACGCUUUUGGAGGCCGAGGCAAGAGGAUCACCUGAGAUCAGGAGUUCAAGAUCAGCCUGGCCAACAUGGUAAAGCCCCAUCUCCACUAAAAAUACAAACAUUAGCCAGGUGUAGUGACAUGCACCUGUAAUUCCAGCUACUCAGGAGGUUGAGGCAGGAGAAUAGCUUGAACCUGGGAGAUGGAGGUUGCAGUGAGCUGCGAUCACGCCACUGCACUCCAGCUUAGGUGACAGAGUGAAACUAUGCCUUAAAAAAGAGAGAGAGAGAGAGAGAGAGAGAGAGAGUGGUAACUACAAUGGGUCUUUCUGUUAUUGUAUUCUUCUCGGGUGUGUAUGUGUGUGUGUGUGUGUGUGUGUGUCUGUCUGCAUCUGUCUUCACUGCUGUAUCAUAAGUUCCUUGUGGAUGGAGCUUUUAUCUUAAUUCUCUUUGUACACUGAGGGCUCAGUAACAGGGUGCCCAACUCCAAGAUGCUCAAUAAAUGUGUACUGGACAGAACAAAUGAACAGGGCGAGUAGGGACAGUGAGUUUCUUUGACCUGAACACAAGGAAGACUCAGUGCCACCCGACUGUCCUAAAAGCUAGACCCAAAACUAAGAUGGUAUCCAGUCUGUCCAGCACUAGAGUGGCCCAACUUUUAUUUCUUCUCUUUAUUUCUCCCAUAAGGUGAUGAGUCCUGAAGCUUAGCCUGUGUCUCUUUCCUCCUUCGAAGCUUUUCCCGGUGCUUUGCUCUGGCAAGACCUCGCUCCUGACUGCCAGCCGGGACAGCUGGUCCACCCCAGGCCAGGGAAUAAACACCUCCCUUCCGUCAACACCCCACUGCCCCUACCUCUGUACCUUUGCAAUCCGAGCUCCUCUCUUCCCUCCCCUCUCUUCGCCCCUCCUCGUCUCUCCCACCCCCUGCGGCAUCGUGCUUGCAUUUCCCAAGUGUGGAACUCACUUGGCCACCAUGGUUCAGCCUGAUCCUUCUGCAUCAAUGCCCUUCCUUGUUUCUCUAGAUGUCUCCAGCCAGCUCUCCUUUUGGAGACAGUUCAUCACCACCUCUUUCCAGAAGCGUUCCUAUUCACCCCUUCCACCCUAGAGUGGAAUUAGGAAUCCCUUCUCUUCCUCCUUAAGGCCUCUGUAUUUAACCAAUGCAGCAGCAGCCUUUCUUGCAUGGAAGGAAAUUGUCUGCCACCCCAUCUCUCUCCACUGCUAGAUAUUUUUUAAUUUUUGAGAAGGAGUUUUGCUCUUGUUGACCAGGCUGAAGUGCAAUGGUAUGACUUAGGCUCACUGCAACUUCUGCCCUCCAGGGUCAAGCAAUUCUCCUGCCUCAGCCUCCAGAGUAGCUGAAAUUACAGGUGCCCACCACCAUGCCUUGCUAAUUUGGGGGGAUUUUUUUUUUCUUUUUUUUUUUUUAGUAGAGACGGGGUUUCACCAUGUUGGCCAGACUGGUCUCGAACUCCUGAUCUCAGGUUAUCCACUCGUCUUGGCCUCCCAAUGUGCUGGGAUUACAGGCAUGAGCCACUGCACCUGGCCAGAUAUGAACAUCUAUCUUAAUGACACAAAUGAUAUCAUUUGUUUUCAUCUUUGCUGCAUCUAAGAAUGCCUGGCACACGGGUGACCAACUAUCCUAGUUUGCCCAGGACAUGGGACUUCCAGUGCUAAACCCAGGCAAGUCUCAGGCAAACUGAGUUUUAGGGAAAAGCUGGCCACCCUACCCUACCUACCUCCAUGACACCAUGUAAAACUUUACUCCAGUCAACCUGGAUUAAAUCCUAGUCACUUGCUAAUCUUGUAUAUUUUAUGAUUUCCUCAUUUCACACAUUUAUGUCCAGUCUUCUAAUUUUGCUUGAGAGCAUAGAUCUUUCCUUACAGUAAUCCACAGUAACCCUUCAGAGCCACACAGAAACAGGCUUCAAAAGAUCUUCAUUAUCAUCAUUGUUUAAAGUCCUGUCUAAAUUCUUCAUGUAUGUUUUUUCUCUAAAUCUCCCAGUGCCCUCAUGAGGUAGAGACUCUCUUUGUCAUUUCAUGAGACUGGAAAAGUCUGGCAUCUGAGUGACCGAUCCAAGCUAGCACAUCUAGGAAGUUGUAGGAAUUAAAACUGGUAUAGGCCGAGCGCAGUGGCUCACACCUAUAAUCCCAGCACUUUGGGUGCCUGAGGCAAAAGGAUGUCUUGAGGCCAGGAGUUCAAGACCAGCCUGGGUAACAUGAGGCACCAUCUCUACAAGAAAUUAAAAAUUAGCCAGAUGUGGUGGCAAGUGCCAGUAGUCCCAGCAACUUGGGAGGCUGAGGUAGGAGGAUGCUUGAGCCCAGGAGGUCGAGGCUACAGUGAUCACACCACUGCACUCCAGCCUAGGCGGCAGCAUGAGACCCUGUCUCUAAAACAAAAACAAAACAGGCCUGUCAGAGUCUGAAUCCUAUGCUUAAGGGGCACCCAGGUUGGUCCCUCUUCAGCACCCAGGCCCAGAUUCUGUAGCAUGUGGUGGCUUCCCAGUACCACCCAGUAUCAUUGGGUCCCUGAAUGCAUGGCUGGAUGAAAGUCCCAUAGAGUGCUGUCCUCCAGGUGCUAGCCUGUGAUCUUGAGCUCUAGAGAGAAGAGAAUCAACACCACUCCCAAGUGGGGAGAAAUUGUCACUCUCCAGCUCUAGAGAUUUGGGCCAAAUGAAAAUGAAGGUCCCUCCCUCAUGUCUAACAGUCCUGACAGCUCCCCCUUGGACACAAGAGCAGGGAAAACGCGUCCCCAAAGCCAGGAGUAUAUUUGUUUCCCAGGACUGCUGUCACAAAGUACUGUAAACUGUGUAGCUUAACACCACAGAAAUUAUUAUGUCAUGGUUCUGGAGGCCAGAAGUUCAAAAUCAAGGUUUGGGUAGGGUUGGUUCCUUCUGGAGGUUUCUGGGGAGAGUCUGAUCCAGGCCUCUCUUCUGACUCCUGGUGGCUCUAGGCAAUCCUUGGCGUUCCUCUGCUCGUAGAUGCUUCACUCCAGCCUCUACCUCUGUCUCCACCUGGCCUUGCCUCUUUUUGUUUCUGUGUCUUCUUUUUUUUUUUGAGGCAAAGUCUCACUCUGUCACCCAGGCUGGAGUGCAGUGGCUCAAUCUCAGCUCACUGCAACCUCCACCUCCCGGGUUCAAACAAUUCUCCUGCCUCAGCCUCCUGAGUAGCUGGGAUUACAGGCAUGCACCACCACACCCGGCUAAUUCUCUUCUUAUAAAGACACCAGUCGUUGGAUUUAAGGCUCACCCUAAAUCCAGGAUGAUGGCAUCUGGAGAUCCUUAACUAAUUACGCCUAUGUAUUAGUCCAUUUUACACUACUGAUAAACACAUACCCAAAACUGGGUAAUUUAUAAAGAAAAAGAGGUUUAAUGGAAUCGCAGUUCCACGUAGCUAGGGAGGCCUCACAAUCACCAUGGAAGGUGAAAGGCACGUCUUACAUGGUGGCAGCAAGAGAGAAUGAGAGCCGAGCAAAAGGGAUUUCCCCUUUUAAAACCAUCAGAUCUCACGAAACUUAUUCACUACCAUGAGAACAGUAUUAAGGGAAACCUCCCCCAUGAUUCAAUUACCUCCCACUGGGUCCCUCUCACAACACGUGGGAACUAUGGGAGCUACAAUUCAAGAUGAGAAUUGGGUAGGGACACAGGCAAAUCAUAUCGACCUACAAAGAUCCUUUUUCCAAAUAAGGUCACACACCAGCAUUCUGGGUGGACAUGAAUUUGGGAGGGACACUGUACAACCCAUUACAGAAGUUCAUUACCUUGAAGGCCCCAGUGUCUGCUGAAAACAUGACCACAUUCCCCACUUCCCCAGGCCCUCCUUCCACAGGACAUCUCUGCAACAGCUGCUGUGGAGGAGGCCACUGCCCUCACCCUGCAUAGACCACCCCCACCCUCAACGCACACCCAUUCUGCCCUGCCAGGGUCCUUGGAAGUCUGGCAGCUCCAUGACAAGCCCCAUGCACUGGUGGGAGAUGUGGAGGAGGGGGGAGCCACUGUUGCAGAAUCCCAGCAUGAGAAGAAGGAAAGUGCUGACUUAAAAAUUGAAACCCUGACAGAUGUGGAGCUUUUUAACUCUGCGAUGGGCCUGUUGGCGCUUGUCAGAUUCUAGCACGUUUGCUAAUGUGCAUUUUCAUCAAAGGAAGAGCCUGCUUAGAGAUCCCAUGGCCAGCCCAACCUCUUUGCUUCCACCUCCCUGCUUGGUUGUCCCUGCCUGUUCUCACCCUUCCCUCCUCCUCUGCCGUCCAGUCCCAGCCUUUCUUUGUUCCUGUCCUUUCCUCCCCUUCCCUUCCUCUGUCUCUGUGCCUCCUGUCAUCAUCCCAGGGCUCCCACCCCAUCCUAUCUUCCUUCUGUCUUUCCUCUCCUAUUCUGUCUCCAUUCUCUUCCUUUUCUUUCAGUUCAGCAAGACAAACAUUUAUUGCAGCCACUACAGAAUUUCAGGAACUGAGCUCUCAGUGAGUGUCUCAGUCCAUCUGAGCUGCUCUAACACAACUCCUCAGGUUGGGUGAUUUAUCAGCAAUAGGGGUAUAUUGCUCACAGUUCUGGAGGCAGGGAAGUCCAAGAUCAAGACGCCCACAAAUGCUGUGUCUGGCGAGGGCUUGGUCUCUUCUUCCUAGUUGGGCCUUCUUGCUGUGUCCUCAGAGACUGGACAGGGCAAAAGGGUGAACAAGCUCUCUCAGGCCUUUUCUAUGAAGGCAUUAACCCUAUUCACGAGGUCUCCACCCUCAUGACCUAAUCCCAAAGGCUCCACCUCCUAGGGUUCAAUUUCAACAUAUGGAUUUUAGGGGCACAUAAAUUCAGAACGUAGCAAUGAAAGAAGAAACAAAGCAAGGCCAAGUGUGGUGGUUCACACCCAUAAUCCCAGCACUUUGGGAAGCUGAUCACUUGAGGUCAGGAGUUGGAGACCAGCCUGGCAGACAUGGCGAAACACCAUCUCUACUAAAAACACAAAAAUUAGCCAUGCGUAGUGGUGUGCUCCAGUCGUCCCAGCUACUCAAGAGGCUGAGACAUGAGAAUGGCUUGAACCCAGGGGAUGGAGGUUGCAGUGAGCCAAGAUCACUCCACUGCACUCCAGCCCAGGCAACAGAGUGAGACUCCAUCUCAAAAAAAGAGAAGGCAAUAGGGCUUGUCCCUGCGGGAUCACAGUUACCCGUUCCUGCCCUGCCAUGUUGCUAUCUUCUCUGGAUCUCUUUCCUUUCUGAGCAGCUUGUGUUACAGGGUCUUGCUCUGUUGCCCAGGCUGGUCUCAAGCUCCUGGCCUCAAGCAAUCCUUCUAUCUCAGGCUCCCAAAGCACUGGGAUGACAGGCGUGAGCCACUGUGUCCAGCCACUCUUUCUUCUUUCCCCUCCUCCCUUCAUCUUCCUCCUUUAUCCUGGGAUCUUUUCUGUCUCCCUCAUUUUUCAGGCCUGUUCAAAUAACUCUUCCUUGCCCGUAUUAGAUGCUGGAGAUGCAGACAAGAGUAAGAUAAGUUUGCUGUCUCAAAGUCUCCUUUUCCCUCCCUCUCUGCUCCUUCUGUCCUCUCUCUACUUUUUUUUUUUUUUUUUUUUUUUUGGAGAUAGAGUCUCACUCUUUCAUCUAGGCUGGAGUACAGUGGCAUGGUCUUGGCUCACUGCAACCUCCAUCUCCUGGGUUCAAGCAAUUAUCCUGCCUUAGCUUCCCAAGUAGCUGGGAUUACCAGCAUGUGCCACCACAUCCGGAUAAAUUUUGUAUCAUCAUGUUUGCCAGGCUGGUCUCAAACUCCUGACCUCGAAGGAUCCACUGGCCUCAGCCUCUCAAAGUUCUGGGAUUACAGGCGUGAGCCACUGUGCCCCGCCUCUAUUUCCUCUUUUCUUCCCUGUCAUCCUUCCCUCUCACUCCCCAAAACCCUCCCAUUGUUGUGCAUUCCCUCGCCUAUGCCAAGUCUCAGGCUUUAGCAUCCUGUACAAGAAAGGCUAUGUGCUAAUUGCACAGCCCCCUCCGGCUUCCUCUGAUGAUGAGGCCAGGCCUCAUACACCAUGUUGCAGGCAGUGCUGGGGCCACCGGCCAGGAACAGCUGAUGCAUGUGGACAGACAGCCGAUCCAAAAGGCCCCUGCUGUAGUGGCCCCGGGCCCAAAACUGCUGAUUUGCUGAAUAUGUCUGAGUGCACAGGAGCAGUUCUCAGAGGCCUCAGCCCUGUGGGUGGCCAGGGAAGGCUGAUGCAAGCAGACACAUGAUCAGUAGUAGAAUGAGAAGUUCCCUGCCCUGGCUCUGAACUGGGCUGGCUGAUUGGAAUAGACAUGCUGGGUCACUGGUUGGUUGAACCCCAGGGGUGUCCAGAGCAGAUCAAAGGCAGAGGAUGCCCAGGUGUUAAAACCGUGUUUAAAAAGGAAGUCAGGGCCAGGUGUGGUGGCUCACACCUGUAAUCCCAGCACUUUGGGAGGCCAAAGCAGGGGGAUCACUUGAACCCAGGAGUUUGAGACCAGCCGGGGCUCAACAUGGCGAAAUCCCCUCUUUACUAAAAAUACAAAAAUCAGCUGGGUGCGAUAGUACAUGCUUGUAGUCCCAGUUAUUCAGGAGGAGGAGUUGGGAGAAUCUAUUGAGCCUGGGAGGCGGAGGUUGCAGCGAGCCGAGCUCGUACCACUGCUGGUACGACAGCCUCAAACUCCUGGGCUCAAGCGAUCCUUCUACCCUAGCUCCUGGAGUAGCUAGGGCUACAGGCUCAUGCCACCAUGCCUGGCUGAUUUUUUUUUUUUUUUAGUUUUUUUGUAGAGAUAGGGUCCCACCAUGUUGUCCAGCCUGGGUGACAGAGUGAGACCCUGUCUCAAAAAAACAAGGAAAUCAGGGCUGGGGCUUCCUUUCCUGGGCUGGAGGUUUGCAGGACAACCCUGGAUUGGGUUGUGGGUUUUUUUGUUUUUUUUUUUUUUGAAUAUUCAGGAGGUCAAAAAGAAGGCAGCUCUGGGUGCGAACUGUCGCUCUGCUGACUGUGGUGGAUCCUCUCCUUCUCCCUGUAACCCCAUGUUCCCAACAUCUGUUCUACCCAACUGUUAACACCAGGCAUGGAACUUCCAUUCCCCUAGCCCAUGAUUGGUCACCGGUGACCACGUGAUCUAGUGACCGGAAAGUCUGCGGGUCCUUUGGGAAAGCUUCAUUCGUUUUAAGGAGGAGACACUGAACAGUCAUCUCUGUCUGAAUGAAAGGCUAGGAAGCGCUGCAGCCUUAAACAGAGUCGACCCCAAGGAUGUUAGAUCCAAGUUGUAAAGAAUUCACAACGUUAAUGAUGAUACCACGCAGCCAUGGGCUGUAUUAUAGCUACAUUGUGCCUUUCCUUGGAUAUUUUAUUUACUUAUUUAUUUAUUAUUUUUUUUUUAUUUUAUUGAGACGGAGUUUCACUCUGUCGUCCAGGCUGGAGUGCAGUGGCUCAAUCUCAACUCACUGCAACCUCUGCCACCCAGAUACAAGAGAUUCUCCUGCCUCAGCCUCCCAAGUAGCUGGGAUUACAGGCACCCGCCACCAAGCUUGGCUAAUUUUUGUAUUUUCAGUAGAGGCAGGGUUUCGCUAGGUUGGCCAGGCUGGUCUCGAACUCCUGACCUCAGGUGAUCUGCCUGCCUCUGCCUCCCAAAGUGCUGGGAUUACAGGCGUGAGCCUCUGUGCCCAGCCAGAUUUUUUUUAAAUUGGAAAUAAGGUCUCUGCUCUGUUGCUCAUGUUGGGGUGCAGUGUUGUGAUCAUUUCUCCCUGCAGCCUCAAACUCCUGGGCUCAAGCGAUCCUUCUACCCUAGCUCCUGGAGUAGCUAGGGCUACAGGCUCAUGCCACCAUGCCUGGCUGAUUUUUUUUUUUUUUUAGUUUUUUGUAGAGAUAGGGUCCCGCCAUGUUGUCCAGGAUGGUCUUGAACUCCUGGGCUCAAGAGGUCCUCUUGCCUCAGCCUCCCAAAGUGCUGGGAUUGUAAGCAUGAGCCACUGCGUACUGCCUGGAUUUCUUACUAUGUGAAGUAGUGAUGUUUCUUACAACCAUUUGACCCCACCUAAGUUUGAUCUGUAACUUGCAGCCUGAAGCACUCUAAAUAACUGACUAACAUAGUAUUUGCCUUCUCUGAGUAUCAUGUGAGAUCAUGCUGCUUCUUCCCUAGGAUUGCUGUAAGAAUUCAUGAAAUGAUGCAUUUAGCACAAUGCCUGGCACGUAGGAAGCACUCAGGAAACAUUAUUGUAAUUAUUAUUAUUAUUUGAGAUGGAGUUUAGCUCCUGUCGCUCAGUCUGGAGUUUAAUGGCACAGUCUUGGCUCACUGCAACCUCCAUCUCUUGGGUUCAAAUGAUUCUCCUGCCUCAGCCUCCCAAGUAGCGGGGAUUACAGGCGCGUGCCAUCACGUCUGGCCAAUUUUGUAUUUUUAGUAGAGACAGGGUUUCACCAUGUUGGCCAGGCUGGUCUCAAAGUCCUGACCUCAGGUAAUCCACCCGCCUUGGCCUCUCAAAGUGUUAGAAUUACAGGCAUCAGCCACCACGUCCAGCCCAUUAUUGUAAUUAUUACUUAGCCAUCAAUACAUUAUUGUCAAUACAUUAUAGUCAGUUAAAUGUGGUAGUUGUUAAUGCUGUUUGCCAAAUAGCUCUGGUUCUCUCCCCUUCCAAGGAUAAUAUGAUUGUACUUCUUAAUUACUUUUUGGGUAGGAGAUGCCAUGUGACUAAUUCACACAGGCUGGGUCUGCUCCAACUGCAGCAUCACCCUCUGCCGACUCACGCAGGCCAUCAUGGCCUGGCAGAGUGGGCAAAACGCUGCCUACUGCAGUGGCACUUGGGCAGAGGUGUCCCUGACGUAGCUGCCUCCAAGUGACCAACUCCAAGUAAUCCAGCUUUCUCUCAACUCACACACACAGCCACAUUCUCCCCAAGGCACCUACAUGCCACCCACAGGCAGGUCCUUUAAGACCAGUGCAGCCUGGAGCUUCUCAGCCAUGGUGGCUCUUCCCUGUAUGAGUAAUUCUUUCCGGCGGGACCCAAAUUGCUCCUCUUGCAAUCUGGCUUCCAUAGGGUUGUACUGCAAAUCUGGAGAACAUGGAUCUGUGCACAAGGCCCCAUGGCAGACAGGGCCUUAUCACCACUGGCUUGAAAGAUGGGUGAUUAUGAAACAAACAAAAUAAUAAGUGUUGGCGAGGGUGUGAAGAAUCAGAACCCUUGUGCGUUCCUUCCAUGCUGCAUUCCCAUGUGUUACGCCUGUUACACUGCUGGGGGAAUGUAACGUGUUGCAGUUGCUGUCAGAAGCAGUUUGGGUGCUGCUGAAAAUGCCCAACAUAACAGCUACCCUAAAACCCAGCAAUCCUACUCGCAGAUAUACACCCAAGAGAAUGGAAAACAUAUGUCCACACAGAAACGUGUACAUGUAACAAGUGUAUGUACGUCGUAUUAUUCACAAAAGCCAAAAGGGAUAUGUGACCCAAAUGCCCAUCGAUGAGUGGGAAGAUGAGCAAAUUUUGGCACAGCCAUACAACGAGGCACGACGCGGCAGUGAAGGAAUUAAGUAUUGACACGCGCCACGCCGUGGGGGAAUCCAGCACCAUCAUGCUAAAGAAGUGAAGGAAGCCAGAAAGCAAAAGUUGCAUAGUGUAUGAUUCCAUUUCUAGGAAAUGUCCAGCAUAGGUAAAUCCAUAGAGACAGAAAGCAUAUGAGUGAGUGGUUGCCAGGGACAACAGGAAGAGAAGCAGAGACGAGAGAGGAUAGGAGCAUAGCCAGUGAAUGAAAGAAAAAUGGCGGGUUUAGGGUUUCCUCUUGGGGUGACUGACAUCUUUUGGAACUUGAUAGAGGUGGUGGUUGCAGAACCCUGGGAAUGUGUUAAAUGCCACUGUGUUGUACAUUUCAACAUGGUCUAUUCUUUGUUGUUGUUUUUUGAGACCAAGUUUUGCUGUGUC